UACGUAGGGUGCGAGCGUUAAUCGGAAUUACUGGGCGUAAAGUGUGCGCAGGCGGCCGAGCAAGUCGAGUGUGAAGGCCCCGGGCUUAACUUGGGAAUUGCGCUCGAAACUACUUGGCUGGAGUGUGGCAGAGGAAGGUGGAAUUCCAGGUGUAGCGGUGAAAUGCGUAGAGAUCUGGAGGAACACCGAUGGCGAAGGCAGCCUUCUGGGCCAACACUGACGCUCAUGCACGAAAGCGUGGGGAGCAAACAGG
rnacentral:rRNA from 1 species